AGCCUCCUACGGGACGCAGCAGUGGGGAAUAUUGCACAAUGGGGGAAACCCUGAUGCAGCAACGCCGCGUGAAGGAAGACGGUUUUCGGAUUGUAAACUUCUUUUCUUAGUGAAGAAGCAAGUGACGGUAGCUAAGGAAUAAGCAUCGGCUAACUACGUGCCAGCAGCCGCGGUAAUACGUAGGAUGCGAGCGUUAUCCGGAAUUACUGGGUGUAAAGGGAGCGCAGGCGGGACUGCAAGUUUGAUGUGCAGUACCGCAGCUU
rnacentral:rRNA from 1 species